UGUCUAUGAUAUCCCAUGACACAGUGAGCUGAAAACGUUUUUGUAAAAUUCAAGACAGUUUGAGUGCAUCCAUACUUUGAAAUAGGAGACAUAGACUGUAUUACCUGUAAAGUUGGCUUCUGUUGGAUAAUCGAACUCAGAUUUAACUUACGGUGAAGACGCUGAGGUUAAGAAACAAGUGACUGCUAUGAGAUCAUAAAGAAAAUGCAUAAGUGGUGGAAACAAUUAGAAAAUAGGUGUUUUGAUUUUAAGUUGCAAGUGCUCUCCAUUCCACAAAGAUAUUGGAAAUGGCUUGAAGGAGGGUCCAUGGAGUAUCUUCUCUAAAUUCUCCACAGCACUUUAUACAGCUCCAAAUGCAUAAUGAAACUUAAAUAAAUCUUACUGAAUUAAAAAGAAGGAAAAAACAUGAGAGGAAGUCAUCGAGAAUGGAGAGAGGGAGAGAAAUAGAAAUAGAGGGAAGAUUAUAAAGAUGAAAAGGACAAGAAGAACAGUCCAUAUUUAUAAAAUAUUUUAGAAGAAAAAUAAAAUUUCCUUCUACGUGCUGUCAGGACAUGCUUUUUAAUUUGUGGAAGUCACACACUGCAGAUGUUGCCUUCCGGGUUGCUGGUAGGAUCACCAUGACAAAGGCGCUGCCUCAUCUAUAAAUAGACGGUCAGAUUGAUUUCACAUCCUGCCCUGGUUCUUCCGACUGCUUGAUGGGCGUGACAACACAAUCGAUGAGUGAUCCCAUCCACUCUGCCUGCACAGGCCUCGCCUGCACUGUCUUCUGGAAGAUGACAAUCAGGCUCAUUAAAUCCAGCACAAAGAAGCUUCAAAGACGUUUGUCCUAUC
rnacentral:lncRNA from 10 species